ACUAGUCUCUGGGACCUUUUAAGAAAGUCUCCCAGGAAACAAAGGGGAAAGAAUGGGGCUUUUGCAGAUGAAGGUAUCAUGUUAACUAUUUGUGUUUGGAAAGUGAUGCUGUGUAAUGUAGAUCAUUUUAAUAAAAUUUUUCUUUACUGCUCAUGAUAAAAUUUAAGGUAAUAGAGAGGUAUAGAAAGUAAGAGUCCAGUCUUCACAUCACCCACCCCCUCAUUCUACUCUUACUUGUCACCAUUAUUAGGAAUUUAGUCUAUUUCCUUUUAGACUUUUUCUGUGCAGAUAUAAACAUAGCCAGUUGGGUUUUGUGGCUGUUUUUUCAGAAAUGAAAUUAUACUGUACAUACUGUUAUAAAAUGAAGGUUUUUCAGAACUUGGCUCAGUGUAUGGUGGCUGUGCAUACCUGUAGAUGCAUGGCUCUACCAUAUCUACUUACCAUAAUCUACUUAACUAUUGAUGAAGUUUAAGGUUUUUGCUUAUAUGAAUACUGUUCAUGUGUUUCAGUUAGCCUUACUAACACAGUUAUAUUCAUCUUUAACUUUUUUUUUUUUUUUACCUAUUUGGUAAGUAAAAAAUGGCUCAUUGUCAUAACUUGCACUUCCUCAGUGAGACUGAACAUGUUCCUUAUGUUAGCCAUUUGUACUUCUAUGAAUUAGAUAUUAUUUUUCUUUGGGUUGUUUGUGUCUUUUAAUUGGUUUGAGAUCUUUAUAUAUUAUAGACAUUAACUCUUAAUUUGCAAAUAUUUCUUACAGUUGAUCAUUUCUUAUUUGUGAUGGAGUUUUUCCUUACAGAAGUUUUAUUUUUGUAUGUUGUCAGAUCUGUCAAACAUUUAUAGCUCUUGAAUUUGGAGGCAUGCUUGCAAUGUGUUGCUAUGGUUUAAUAGUCUAAGUGUAAUGAUCUUAAUUCAGUGAUUCCUAAUAGUGUAUCGGAAUAGUUUAGGGGAAUUUUUUCAAUACAUAGGCUACGGUUUCCAACUAAGAUAUUCUUUCUUGGUGAAGUGUGGGGUCCAAAUUUGUGGGGUUUGGUUUGGUUUGUUUUGGAGAGAAAGGAAGAAGCUCCCUGAUUCUGAUGUGAAACCCUAGUU